rnacentral:rRNA from 1 species
CCUGGCCUUGACAUACUAAGAACUUUCCAGAGAUGGAUUGGUGCCUUCGGGAACUUAGAUACAGGUGCUGCAUGGCUGUCGUCAGCUCGUGUCGUGAGAUGUUGGGUUAAGUCCCCGCAACGAGCGCAACCCUUUUCCUUAUUUGCCAGCGGGUUAAGCCGGGAACUUUAAGGAUACUGCCAGUGACAAACUGGAGGAAGGCGGGGACGACGUCAAGUCAUCAUGGCCCUUACGGCCAGGGCUACACACGUGCUACAAUGGUCGGUACAAAGGGUUGCUACCUCGCGAGAGGAUGCUAAUCUCAAAAAGCCGAUCGUAGUCCGGAUCGCAGUCUGCAACUCGACUGCGUGAAGUCGGAAUCGCUAGUAAUCGCGGAUCAGAAUGCCGCGGUGAAUACGUUCCCGGGCCUUGUACACACCGCCCGUCACACCAUGGGAGUUUGUUGCACCAGAAGUAGGUAGUCUAACCGCAAGGAGGACGCUUACCACGGUGUGGCCGAUGACUGGGGUGAAGUCGUAACAAGGUAGGCGUAGAUGA